AUACGGAGGGUGCGAGCGUUAAUCGGAAUUACUGGGCGUAAAGCGUACGUAGGCGGUUGGUUAAGUUAGAUGUGAAAGCCCCGGGCUUAACCUGGGAACUGCAUUUAAAACUGGCGAACUAGAGUUGAGUAGAGGGGAGUGGAAUUUCAGGUGUAGCGGUGAAAUGCGUAGAGAUCUGAAGGAACACCAGUGGCGAAGGCGACUCCCUGGACUCGAACUGACGCUGAGGUACGAAAGCGAGGGUAGCAAACGGGAUUAGAAACCCCGGUAGUCC
rnacentral:rRNA from 1 species